AGUGAACGCUAGCGGUAGGCCUAACACAUGCAAGUCGAACGGCAGCACAGUAAGAGCUUGCUCUUACGGGUGGCGAGUGGCGGACGGGUGAGGAAUACAUCGGAAUCUACUUUUUCGUGGGGGAUAACGUAGGGAAACUUACGCUAAUACCGCAUACGACCUACGGGUGAAAGCAGGGGAUCUUCGGACCUUGCGCGAUUGAAUGAGCCGAUGUCGGAUUAGCUAGUUGGCGGGGUAAAGGCCCACCAAGGCGACGAUCCGUAGCUGGUCUGAGAGGAUGAUCAGCCACACUGGAACUGAGACACGGUCCAGACUCCUACGGGAGGCAGCAGUGGGGAAUAUUGGACAAUGGGCGCAAGCCUGAUCCAGCCAUACCGCGUGGGUGAAGAAGGCCUUCGGGUUGUAAAGCCCUUUUGUUGGGAAAGAAAAGCAGCAGGUUAAUACCCCGCUGCUCUGACGGUACCCAAAGAAUAAGCACCGGCUAACUUCGUG
rnacentral:rRNA from 1 species